rnacentral:rRNA from 1 species
GUGGGGAAUUUUGGACAAUGGGCGCAAGUCUGAUCCAGCAAUGCCGCGUGUGUGAAGAAGGCCUUCGGGUUGUAAAGCACUUUUGGCAGGAAAGAAAUAGUGCGUGCUAAUACCAUGCGCGAAUGACGGUACCUGCAGAAUAAGCACCGGCUAACUACGUGCCAGCAGCCGCGGUAAGACGUAGGGUGCAAGCGUUAAUCGGAAUUACUGGGCGUAAAGCGUGCGCAGGCGGUUUUGUAAGACAGGUGUGAAAUCCCCGGGCUCAACCUGGGAACUGCACUUGUGACUGCAAGGCUAGAGUGUGUCAGAGGGAGGUGGAAUUCCGCGUGUAGCAGUGAAAUGCGUAGAGAUGCGGAGGAACACCGAUGGCGAAGGCAGCCUCCUGGGAUAACACUGACGCUCAGGCACGAAAGCGUGGGGAGCAAACAGGAUUAGAAACCCUUGUAGUCC